AGUGAACGCUGGCGGUAGGCCUAACACAUGCAAGUCGAACGGCAGCACAGUAAGAGCUUGUUCUUACGGGUGGCGAGUGGCGGAAGGGUGAGGAGAACAUUGGAAUCUACUUUUUCGUGGGGGAGCUCGUAGGGAAACUUACGCUAAUAUCGCAUACGACCUGCGGGUUAAAGCAGGGGAACUGCGGACCUGGCGCGAUUGAAUGAGCGGAUGUCGGACUAGCUAGUUGGCGGGGUAAAGGCCCACCAAGGCGGCGAUCGGUAGCCGGCCUGAGAGGGUGACCGGCCACACUGGGACUGCGGGACGGCCCAGAGUGCUAUGGGAGACAGCAGUGGGGAACAUUGCACAAUGGGAGAGAGUCUGAUGAAGCAACGCCGCGUGUGGGAAGACGGUCUUUGGGUUGUAAACCGCUUUUAGCAGGGACGAAGCGAAAGUGACGGUACCUGCAGAAAAAGCGCCGGCUAACUACGUG
rnacentral:rRNA from 1 species